CACCAGAGGAAGAAGGUAGGAUGUAUAAGAGGACUCAUCAAUCUGUGGUAACCAUUUUAAAAGCUUGAAUUCUGUGAAUAUUGAAGGAACAGCUGCCAUGGCAAAUCUACCCCUUGAUGCAAGUGGCAUAAAA
rnacentral:lncRNA from 12 species